rnacentral:misc_RNA from 1 species
AACGCACAUUGCGCCCCCUGGCAUUCCGGGGGGCAUGCCUGUCCGAGCGUCAUUUCUGCCCUCAAGCGCGGCUUGUGUGUUGGGUGUGGUCCCCCCGAGCUUUGGGGGGACCUGCCCGAAAGGCAGCGGCGACGCCCCGCCUAGGUCCUCGAGCGUAUGGGGCUUUGUCACGCGCUCGGGAGGGGCCUGCGGGCGUUGGUCACCCAUGGAUUUUCUGUACGGUUGACCUCGGAUCAGGUAGGAGUUACCCGCUGAACUUAA